GGACGAACGCUGGCGGCGCGCCUAACACAUGCAAGUCGAACGAGCGAGAGAGAGCUUGCUUUCUCGAGCGAGUGGCGAACGGGUGAGUAACGCGUGAGGAACCUGCCUCAAAGAGGGGGACAACAGUUGGAAACGACUGCUAAUACCGCAUAAGCCCACGGCUCGGCAUCGAGCAGGGGGAAAAGGAGCAAUCCGCUUUGAGAUGGCCUCGCGUCCGAUUAGCUAGUUGGUGAGGUAACGGCCCACCAAGGCGACGAUCGGUAGCCGGACUGAGAGGUUGAACGGCCACAGUGGGACUGAGACACGGCCCAGACUCCUACGGGAGGCAGCAGUGGGGAAUAUUGCACAAUGGGGGAAACCCUGAUGCAGCGACGCCGCGUGGAGGAAGAAGGUCUUCGGAUUGUAAACUCCUGUUGUGGGGGAAGAUAAUGACGGUACCCAACAAGGAAGAGACGGCUAACUACGUG
rnacentral:rRNA from 1 species